CCUACGGGAGGCAGCAGUGAGGAAUAUUGGGCAAUGGGCGCAAGCCUGACCCAGCCACGCCGCGUGAAGGAUGAAGGACCUCGGGUUGUAAACUUCUUUUAUUCGGGACGAAAAGAAUGACGGUACCGAAUGAAUAAGCCAAGGCUAACUAUGUGCAUGCAGCCGCGGUAAUACGUAGGUGGCAAGCGUUAUCCGGAUUUACUGGGUGUAAAGGGCGUGUAGGCGGGAGAGCAAGUCAGACGUGAAAUUCCAGGGCUCAACCCUGGAAUUGCGUUUGAAACUGGUUGUCUUGUGUGAAGUUGAGGCAGGCGGAAUGCCGGGUGUAGCGGUGAAAUGCAUAGAUAUACGGAGGAACACCAGUUGCGAAGGCGGCCUGCUAGACAUUAACUGACGCUGAGGCGCGAAAGCGUGGGGAGCAAACAGGAUUAGAUACCCGAGUAGUC
rnacentral:rRNA from 1 species